UACGUAGGGUCCGAGCGUUGUCCGGAAUUACUGGGCGUAAAGAGCUCGUAGGUGGUUUGUCGCGUUGUUCGUGAAAACUCACAACUCAACUGUGGGCGUGCGGGCGAUACGGGCAGACUUGAGUACUGCAGGGGAGACUGGAAUUCCUGGUGUAGCGGUGGGAUGCGCAGAUAUCAGGAGGAACACCGGUGGCGAAGGCGGGUCUCUGGGCAGUAACUGACGCUGAGGAGCGAAAGCGUGGGGAGCGAACAGG
rnacentral:rRNA from 1 species